rnacentral:rRNA from 1 species
CGAACGGUGAAGCCAAGCUUGCUUGGUGGAUCAGUGGCGAACGGGUGAGUAACACGUGAGCAACCUGCCCUGGACUCUGGGAUAAGCGCUGGAAACGGCGUCUAAUACUGGAUAUGAGCUCCUAUCGCAUGGUGGGGGUUGGAAAGAUUUUUCGGUCUGGGAUGGGCUCGCGGCCUAUCAGCUUGUUGGUGAGGUAAUGGCUCACCAAGGCGUCGACGGGUAGCCGGCCUGAGAGGGUGACCGGCCACACUGGGACUGAGACACGGCCCAGACUCCUACGGGAGGCAGCAGUGGGGAAUAUUGCACAAUGGGCGGAAGCCUGAUGCAGCAACGCCGCGUGAGGGAUGACGGCCUUCGGGUUGUAAACCUCUUUUAGCAGGGAAGAAGCGAGAGUGACGGUACCUGCAGAAAAAGCGCCGGCUAACUACGUGCCAGCAGCCGCGGUAAUACGUAGGGCGCAAGCGUUAUCCGGGAAUUAUUGGGCGUAAAGAGCUCGUAGGCGGUUUGUCGCGUCUGCUGUGAAAUCCCGAGGCUCAACCUCGGGCCUGCAGUGGGUACGGGCAGACUAGAGUGCGGUAGGGGAGAUUGGAAUUCCUGGUGUAGCGGUGGAAUGCGCAGAUAUCAGGAGGAACACCGAUGGCGAAGGCAGAUCUCUGGGCCGUAACUGACGCUGAGGAGCGAAAGGGUGGGGAGCAAACAGGCUUAGAUACCCUGGUAGUCCACCCCGUAAACGUUGGGAACUAGUUGUGGGGACCAUUCCACGGUUUCCGUGACGCAGCUAACGCAUUAAGUUCCCCGCCUGGGGGAGUACGGCCGCAAGGCUAAAACUCAAAGGAAUUGACGGGGACCCGCACAAGCGGCGGAGCAUGCGGAUUAAUUCGAUGCAACGCGAAGAACCUUACCAAGGCUUGACAUAUACGAGAACGGGCCAGAAAUGGUCAACUCUUUGGACACUCGUAAACAGGUGGUGCAUGGUUGUCGUCAGCUCGUGUCGUGAGAUGUUGGGUUAAGUCCCGCAACGAGCGCAACCCUCGUUCUAUGUUGCCAGCACGUAAUGGUGGGAACUCAUGGGAUACUGCCGGGGUCAACUCGGAGGAAGGUGGGGAUGACGUCAAAUCAUCAUGCCCCUUAUGUCUUGGGCUUCACGCAUGCUACAAUGGCCGGUACAAAGGGCUGCAAUACCGUGAGGUGGAGCGAAUCCCAAAAAGCCGGUCCCAGUUCGGAUUGAGGUCUGCAACUCGACCUCAUGAAGUCGGAGUCGCUAGUAAUCGCAGAUCAGCAACGCUGCGGUGAAUACGUUCCCGGGUCUUGUACACACCGCCCGUCAAGUCAUGAAAGUCGGUAACACCUGAAGCCGGUGGCCCAACCCUUGUGGAGGGAGCCGUCGAAGGUGGGAUCGGUAAUUAGGACUAAGU